CAUGGCUCAGAUUGAACGCUGGCGGCAGGCCUAACACAUGCAAGUCGAGCGGUAACAGAAAGUAGCUUGCUACUUUGCUGACGAGCGGCGGACGGGUGAGUAAUGCUUGGGAACAUGCCUUGAGGUGGGGGACAACAGUUGGAAACGACUGCUAAUACCGCAUAACGUCUACGGACCAAAGGGGGCUUCGGCUCUCGCCUUUAGAUUGGCCCAAGUGGGAUUAGCUAGUUGGUGAGGUAAUGGCUCACCAAGGCGACGAUCCCUAGCUGGUUUGAGAGGAUGAUCAGCCACACUGGGACUGAGACACGGCCCAGACUCCUACGGGAGGCAGCAGUGGGGAAUAUUGCACAAUGGGCGCAAGCCUGAUGCAGCCAUGCCGCGUGUGUGAAGAAGGCCUUCGGGUUGUAAAGCACUUUCAGUCAGGAGGAAAGGUUAGUAGUUAAUACCUGCUAGCUGUGACGUUACUGACAGAAGAAGCACCGGCUAACUCCGUGCCAGCAGCCGCGGUAAUACGGAGGGUGCGAGCGUUAAUCGGAAUUACUGGGCGUAAAGCGUACGCAGGCGGUUUGUUAAGCGAGAUGUGAAAGCCCCGGGCUCAACCUGGGAACUGCAUUUCGAACUGGCAAACUAGAGUGUGAUAGAGGGUGGUAGAAUUUCAGGUGUAGCGGUGAAAUGCGUAGAGAUCUGAAGGAAUACCGAUGGCGAAGGCAGCCACCUGGGUCAACACUGACGCUCAUGUACGAAAGCGUGGGGAGCAAACGGGAUUAGAUACCCCGGUAGUCCACGCCGUAA
rnacentral:rRNA from 1 species